rnacentral:rRNA from 1 species
ACGGAAGGCAGCAGUGAGGAAUAUUGGUCAAUGGGCGGAAGCCUGAACCAGCCAAGUCGCGUGAAGGAUGAAGGUAUUAUGUAUUGUAAACUUCUUUAGACGUAGAGAAAUAAGGAGGUCGUGACCUCUGAUGCUAGUAUACGUAGAAUAAGGAUCGGCUAACUCCGUGCCAGCAGCCGCGGUAAUACGGAGGAUCCGAGUGUUAUCCGGAUUUAUUGGGUUUAAAGGGUGCGCAGGCGGUGGAUCAAGUCAGUGGUGAAAUGGUGCGGCUCAACCGUAGCAUUGCCGUUGAAACUGGUUCACUUGAGUGCGGACGAGGCAGGCGGAAUGUGUUGUGUAGCGGUGAAAUGCAUAGAUAUGACACAGAACACCGAUUGCGAAGGCAGCCUGCCAGGCCGCAACUGACGCUGAGGCACGAAAGUGCGGGGAUCGAACAGGAUUAGAUACCCUGGUA